GACGAACGCUGGCGGCGUGCCUAAUACAUGCAAGUCGAGCGAACUUUUGGGAGCUUGCUCCCAAAAGUUAGCGGCGGACGGGUGAGUAACACGUGGGCAACCUGCCUAUAAGACUGGGAUAACUUCGGGAAACCGGAGCUAAUACCGGAUAAUUCUUUUCUACUCAUGUAGGAAAGCUGAAAGACGGUUUCGGCUGUCACUUAUAGAUGGGCCCGCGGCGCAUUAGCUAGUUGGUGAGGUAACGGCUCACCAAGGCGACGAUGCGUAGCCGACCUGAGAGGGUGAUCGGCCACACUGGGACUGAGACACGGCCCAGACUCCUACGGGAGGCAGCAGUAGGGAAUCUUCCGCAAUGGACGAAAGUCUGACGGAGCAACGCCGCGUGAGUGAUGAAGGUUUUCGGAUCGUAAAACUCUGUUGUUAGGGAAGAACAAGUACCAGAGUAACUGCUGGUACCUUGACGGUACCUAACCAGAAAGCCACGGCUAACUACGUGCCAGCCGCCGCCGUAAGAC
rnacentral:rRNA from 1 species